rnacentral:rRNA from 1 species
AGCAGUCGCCGCGGUAACACGGAGGGAGCUAGCGUUGUUCGGAAUUACUGGGCGUAAAGCGCGCGUAGGCGGUUACUCAAGUCAGAGGUGAAAGCCCGGGGCUCAACCCCGGAACUGCCUUUGAAACUAGGUGACUAGAAUCUUGGAGAGGUCAGUGGAAUUCCGAGUGUAGAGGUGAAAUUCGUAGAUAUUCGGAAGAACACCAGUGGCGAAGGCGACUGACUGGACAAGUAUUGACGCUGAGGUGCGAAAGCGUGGGGAGCAAAUAGGAUUAGAUACCCCCGUAGUCCCUGUCUCUUAUAC